rnacentral:lncRNA from 1 species
CCUAACAGUUCGUGCUAGACCGCUUAGUCAAGAAUCAAGUCCAUUUGGUUCUCGUUAAAGAUAUGGACUUGACCAACUACAACUAUUGUAAUUGAUCUAGAGAAUCUUUGACCUAAUCUAAGACAACAAUUGAUUAGAUUUAGUCAAUUCUCUAAUUAAGUCCAUCUUUAAUCUAACCAUAGGUCUAACCCAAUUAAUGGACCUAAUUCUUACUAACCCAUUAACCCAAU